AUAAAAAAUAUGAUAAGAAAACAUGUAUAAACAAUUUACAGAAACAGAAGAAUAUGUAGUUCGUAGUAAUAAUAUUAAAAUGGAACCUCAAAUUAACACUAAGUUUGUAAUAAAGUGAAAAAGCCGCAGAAAACCGAAGUAUAUCCAUUCACUUUCGAUUUACGGGACCAACAAGAACAAAAGCAAAAGCAAGAACAUCUUAAAAAAUUACUAGAAGAAGUGAGAAUAUUUCAGGCAAAUCCAGUGCCUCACUUUAUAAAAUCUCGAACUAAAACUAUUAAUAAUCGUCGUAAUAACAAUGAGAAAAAAAACGAAGAAAAAAAACUAAUAAAUGAUAAAAAUAAGCCAACGAGUAAUAACUUAAAUCAAAAAGUACAAAAAUCUGAUAAUUGCGUCAAGCAAAGUAAAAAGAAU